rnacentral:rRNA from 1 species
GACGAACACUGGCGGCGCGCUUAACACAUGCCAGUCGAACGGAAAGGCCUGCUUUCCCUUGUGGAUUGCGGGUACUCGAGUGGCGAACGGGUGAGUAACACGUGAGUGAUCUGCCCCCAACUUGGGUAUAAGCCUGGGAAACUGGGUCUAAUUCCCGAUAGGACUGCAGGGUGGUGCCUGUGGUGGAAAACGAUUUUCUAGUGGUUGGGGAUGAGCUCGCGGCCUAUCAGCUUGUUGGUGGGGUAAUGGCCUACCAAGGCGGCGACGGGUAGCCGGCCGGAGAGGGUGGACGGCCACAUUGGGACUGAGAUACGGCCCAGACUCCUACGGGAGGCAGCAGUGGGGAAUAUUGCACAAUGGGCGGAAGCCUGAUGCAGCGACGCCGCGUGGGGGAUGACGGCCUUCGGGUUGUAAACUCCUUUCGACCGCGAGGAAGCCACCUGGUUGGAAGGGUGGUGACGGUAGUGGUAGAAGAAGCACCGGCUAACUACGUG